AGUGAACGCUGGCGGUAGGCCUAACACAUGCAAGUCGAACGGCAGCACAGUAAGAGCUUGCUCUUACGGGUGGCGAGUGGCGGACGGGUGAGGAAUACAUCGGAAUCUACUUUUUCGUGGGGGUUAAGUAGGGAAACUUUCGCCGAAACCGCAUACGACCUUCGGGUGAAAGGCGGGGAUUUUCGGACCUUGCUGGUAUGGAAGAAGCGAUGUCGGGCUAGCUAGGUGGGGGGGUAAAAGCCCACCAAGGCGACGAUUCGUAGCUGGUCUGAGAGGAUGAUCAGCCACACUGGAACUGAGACACGGUCCAGACUCCUACGGGAGGCAGCAGUGGGGAAUAUUGGACAAUGGGCGCAAGCCUGAUCCAGCCAUACCGCGUGGGUGAAGAAGGCCUUCGGGUUGUAAAGCCCUUUUGUUGGGAAAGAAAAGCAGCAGGUUAAUACCCCGCUGUUCUGACGGUACCCAAAGAAUAAGCACCGGCUAACUUCGUG
rnacentral:rRNA from 1 species